rnacentral:snoRNA from 1 species
GUCCAAAGUGUUGAGCUCAGCUCAGGCAGCCUCCCUGUUCUGGUAAUUAGGCUUUGGGACAUUGAAAUGGCUGGGGGGCUACUGGAUAGAAUGUUUUACUCUGUUCGUUUACCUCCCAGCCUACAAUA